rnacentral:rRNA from 1 species
GGAGGAUGCGAGCGUUAUCCGGAUUUAUUGGGUUUAGAGGGUGCGUAGGCGGGAUGCCAAGUCAGCGGUCAAAUACGGGGGCUCAACCUGCGUCCGCCGUUGAAACUGGCGUUCUUGAGUGGGCGAGAAGUACGCGGAAUGCGUGGUGUAGCGGUGAAAUGCAUAGAUAUCACGCAGAACCCCGAUUGCGAAGGCAGCGUACCGGCGCCCGACUGACGCUGAAGCACGAAAGCGUGGGUAUCGAA